rnacentral:piRNA from 1 species
UUGCAACUCAACCUCAGUUUCAGGCCUGC